CGCGUAGGCGGGAUAUUAAGUCAGGUGUGAAAACUCUGGGCUCAACCUGGAGAUUGCACUUGAAACUGGUAUUCUUGAGGACAGGAGAGGAAAGUGGAAUUCCUAGUGUAGCGGUGAAAUGCGUAGAUAUUAGGAGGAACACCAGUGGCGAAGGCGACUUUCUGGACUGUAACUGACGCUGAGGCGCGAAAGCGUGGGGAGUGAACG
rnacentral:rRNA from 1 species